rfam:Megaselia scalaris, Durham, NC isolate 2 -- Noor lab, WGS project CAQQ02000000 data, contig: ctg0000170365
UCAAAGGUUUUUUUGAAAACCAUACGUAAUUUACAUAAAUUAAACA